GGGGGCCGGGGCUGGGCCGCUGGGCCUGGGGAGGAAGAGGAGCCUGAUGAGAGCCGCAGCUCCGGGAAGCGGGAUCUGGAGGGAAGCCGGGGGUGUGCGACGUUGGGAGUCGCUGCGCUUCCGUUGGCUGCGGCCCCGGGCAUGUGGCUGUGCCUUGUGACACAGGGUGACAGCCCUCAUACCGAGGUCGUGAGUCCGGAACUUGGUCCAUAAACAAGUUUGGAUACAGGGUGAUAGCCCUAAUACCGAGGUUGUAAAUCCAGAACCUGAUGCAUAAGCAGGUUUGGGGGGAUUGACUUGCAUAUACAGCUUACAGCUUCAGAGCUUGUAAAGAUGUUUUCUUGCAUACGAAGGAGUUGAUUUUUUUUUUUCCAGUGGAACUCAUUCUUGUGGUCACAGGCUUGUAACGCAUCUAGCUUUUUAAGUAGCCCAUUUGGAUUAUGAAAUCUAAACUAACUUUGCCUGCUUUCGUGAGGCCUUGGUGCUCAAAUAAAAUCAUUUCGUCGAAUCGAAGCAGAGAAGUGAAAACAUGCUGACGUUGAACAGGCUUAGGCAGUGGGACCCGAGAUAAACAAACGUCUGUUGCAGCUGUAAACAUGGAAGGCAGUGCGCAGCAGGCCUUCUGUUUAUAUUUUUCAAGAAUAAAGCAAACUCACUCUGAUCACAUGAGAGGUAAAACCUGGAGCAGCAACAACUCCUCACAAGUCGAGAAGUGCCUAGGUCACAUUCCUUGAAUGUUCAUACCACUGUGAGCAAUGGUAGGAAAUUGCGGAGGAGAGCACUGCUGACAGACUUUGGAAAAAAGCCAGAGCUCGUUUCUCUCUGCAGGACAAAAUUUCAGACUGGAAUGUCAAAAAGUGGGAUUGUUAACUGCCUCUGCCUCUUCAGCCUGCCUGCAGGUGUGUGUCAGAGCAGCAAAAUUUAACAGCACCCUGGGCAGUGGCAGGCUCUUUGUGGACAGUCACCAUGAUUUAAGACACUUCCUUGCCUGGUCCCUCUCUGCCUUACUGCAGGAGAUUACUGCUCAUUCGCUGGGAACAGUAGGGCAAAAGGUGCGUCCAGGCCCCCGCUGCCCUGUGGUUGACUGGUGCAAGCUCCUCUUAAGCACUGUGUGGAUGUAAUAUCCUAGACAUUGAGCUGGACGGAUGUUGAAUUUGGCUGUCCUUGCUGAAUAAAUAGGAACCCUUGGCAAAAGACUGGAUUUCUGAUAUGAUGAACAGCUGGAAUCACUGCAAUGUAAAUCUGCCAGAAUCUAAGGGUUGCCAAGGUUUCUUAAUAUGAUGGAGCUAAA